GCCGCCCUAGCUCAGGGGUAGAGCACUUCCAUGGUAAGGAAGGGGUCACGAGUUCAAAUCUCGUGGGCGGCUCCA
rnacentral:tRNA from 1 species